GCCCGGGUGGCGGAAUAGGCAGACGCACGGGACUUAAAAUCCCGCGAGGUUCAUCCCUCGUGCCGGUUCGACUCCGGCCUCGGGCACCA
rnacentral:tRNA from 1 species